rnacentral:rRNA from 1 species
CCUCAGUAACGGCGAGUGAAGCGGCAACAGCUCAAAUUUGAAAUCUGGCCUCUGGCCCGAGUUGUAAUUUGCAGAGGAUGUUUCUGGCGAGGUGCCUUCCGAGUUCCCUGGAACGGGACGCCAUAGAGGGUGAGAGCCCCGUACGGUUGGUCGCUAAGCCUCUGUGAAACUCCUUCGACGAGUCGAGUAGUUUGGGAAUGCUGCUCUAAAUGGGAGGUGUACGCCUUCUAAAGCUAAAUAUAGGCUAGAGACCGAUAGCGCACAAGUAGAGUGAUCGAAAGAUGAAAAGCACUUUGAAAAGAGGGUUAAAUAGUACGUGAAAUUGUUGAAAGGGAAGCGCUCUUGACCAGACUUGCGCCGGUUGAUCAUCCACCGUUCUCGGUGGUGCACUCUGCCGGCUCAGGCCAGCAUCAGUUCGGCUUGGGGGAUAAAGGCUUCGGGAAUGUGGCUCUCUCCGGGGAGUGUUAUAGCCCGUUGCGUAAUACCCUGGGCCGGACUGAGGUUCGCGCAUCUGCAUGGAUGCUGGCGUAAUGGUCAUCAGUGACCCGUCUUGAAACACGGACCAAGGAGUCGUCUUCGUAUGCGAGUGUUCGGGUGUCAAACCCCUACGCGUAAUGAAAGUGAACGUAGGAGAGAGCUUCGGCGCAUCUCCGACCGAUCCUGAUGUUCUCGGAUGGA